rnacentral:rRNA from 1 species
CAUGUCUAAGUAUAAGCAAUUAUACGGCGAAACUGCGAAUGGCUCAUUAUAUAAGUUAUCGUUUAUUUGAUAGUACCUUACUACUUGGAUAACCGUGGUAAUUCUAGAGCUAAUACAUGCUUAAAAUCCCGACUUCGGAAGGGAUGUAUUUAUUAGAUUAAAAACCAAUGCCCUUCGGGGCUCUCUGGUGAUUCAUGAUAACUUCUCGAAUCGCAUGGCCUUGCGCCGGCGAUGGUUCAUUCAAAUUUCUUCCCUAUCAACUUUCGAUGUUUGGGUAUUGGCCAAACAUGGUUGCAACGGGUAACGGAGGGUUAGGGCUCGACCCCGGAGAAGGAGCCUGAGAAACGGCUACUACAUCCAAGGAAGGCAGCAGGCGCGCAAAUUACCCAAUCCCGACUCGGGGAGGUAGUGACAAUAAAUACUGAUACAGGGUUCUUUUGGAUCUUGUAAUUGGAAUGAGUACAAUUUAAAUCCCUUAACGAGGAACAAUUGGAGGGCAAGUCUGGUGCCAGCAGCCGCGGUAAUUCCAGCUCCAAUAGCGUAUAUUAAAGUUGUUGUGGUUAAAAAGCUCGUAGUUGAACCUUGGGCCUGGCUGGCCGGUCCGCCUCACCGCGUGUACUGGUCCGGCCGGGCCUUUCCCUCUGUGGAACCCUAUGCCCUUCACUGGGUGUAGCGGGGAAACAGGACUUUUACUUUGAAAAAAUUAGAGUGCUCCAGGCAGGCCUUUGCUCGAAUACAUUAGCAUGGAAUAAUAAAAUAGGACGUGUGGUUCUAUUUUGUUGGUUUCUAGGACCGCCGUAAUGAUUAAUAGGGACAGUCGGGGGCAUCAGUAUUCAAUUGUCAGAGGUGAAAUUCUUGGAUUUAUUGAAGACUAACUACUGCGAAAGCAUUUGCCAAGGAUGUUUUCAUUAAUCAGGAACGAAAGUUAGGGGAUCGAAGACGAUCAGAUACCGUCGUAGUCUUAACCAUAAACUAUGCCGACUAGGGAUCGGACGAUGUUAAAAAUUGACUCGUUCGGCACCUUACGAGAAAUCAAAGUGCUUGGGCUCCAGGGGGAGUAUGGUCGCAAGGCUGAAACUUAAAGAAA